GGCAAUGUAGCUCCUUUCUUAUUUUUAAGACUUCUGAGCUGUUUUUGGUUACUUCCAUUGGGUGGUUAAUUAGAAGCAGAAAAUCUGCUAGCUGUUAGCUAGCUGCCAGCUAACAUCACUUCUAGAAGUGGAUUCAGAAGACCUCUCUCUCAGUGCACGAGCGCUAGUCGGGCUGGUCCCCCUGGUUCCCCCUUUCACAGCCAUGCCCCAUCUCCCAGGCCACUGACUGCCGUCCCCACAAUGCCCUCUGCUGCUGAAAUGAUGCCAUGGGCGCUGGGGUCAUGGGAAUCCGCUCCUUGCUUCUGGUGGCAUCCCAGCUGUGACGAAAUGCAGCUGAUGGAACAGUCUGGUGUUUGUUCCAGUUCUAUUGGGGGAAAAGGAGAGAUUUUCUCUGUAAAUCACCUGUAUGCUCUGGACCUUGGGGAGAUGGAAACUUAGGGUGAUGAGAGAGGAAGUUUAUGACGCAUGGAAUUGAUCAGAAGCAGAGAGAUGAGAAACCUAUCGUUAGAAGGGUGUUAAUUGCUGAAGAAACCACAAGACCAGCCAGUAAUGGCCGUUGAUUGCUCAACACUCAAGGCAAAGCCCGGGCUCCUAGCUCACAUGGACAGGAGUGGGCAGCCCCCAGAGAAGGGCUCCUCCCCCAUUCAUAUCUCAGAGGAGUCCGGGGAGGACAUUCCCCAGGGACGUCCAGCAGAGAGGCUGGCCGAGGGUCUCAGCCAUGUCUUGGACUCUGCAGUGCCCCACAAGUUGAUUAGCAAUGCUAUUGCCAUUCUCCCCUUUCCAGCACGGGAGUCCUUGUUCUGUUUAUGCUGUUCACAGUGCUUGUGUUUAGGGAAGGCUGCACCUGGUUAAGCUUCUCCUUUGACUCUGGGUCACGGGACCUUGAGAAAUCAUUCACUAUAAAUAAGCAGUUGUUGUUGUUGUUGUUGUUGUUUUGGUCUAAAGAGGCUGGACACCAACAGUGAAGAAAUGGUGACCGUUCCAUUGCUUCUUUGGGAACAAUGACUAUUCCUCCCAUUCUGGUGGUGUCUACACACUUAUCAUGGGCGUGGGGGGUAAUGGUGUUAGGGGAGUGGGGCUCCUCGGAGUGGAAGGGGAUUGUAAAAUGUUGCCUGAGAGGAGGUGAGUGUGUGUGUGUAUGUGUGUGUGUGUGAGAGAGAGAGAGAGAUAUGGAAGUCUCUGGCAAAUGACUUGUUUGUCACAUUAUCCUCUCUAUAUGAAAGCCAUGAUGGCAUCAAGACUGUUAGGACUGGCCACGGCAAGCUCUAUUUUCUGUGUCAACUCAGGAUCACUAGAGAGUUAUUCCAGUGGAUGGAGGAUCACCCAUCAAAGCAUAGGGUCACAUGAGAGAACGAUGCAUCCUUGUUAAAGAUUAAAUA